rnacentral:lncRNA from 1 species
CGAAUUAAUGAUAACAUUAAAUGGUUACACAUUACAUGAAUUAUAUAGUCACCUCCUGUAUACCGCUAAAUGAAUCACAUAUCGAGGUAUUAGAUCAAUAUAAGCUUCGAUUAAGUACAAACUUACUAAUACAUUCUCUAUUGAACUACAGACUAAAGUUUACAUAACUUAACAACAUUUAUAAAGGGCUAUAAGUAAAACAAACAGAUGAUUAUAAUUCCUUCAGAUCUUUCAAUUCAUGCUUUUCAUUGUUACAAUCAGUUACACCAAUGUGGGGGUUCGAAAUGUGUACCUGGAAAAUGCUUACAAUGAAGAAGCAGCAGAGUCAGUAGAGCAGUAGUGUAAACGAACAGCAGCAGUAACAGAUAAAUAGCAGCAGAACAAGUUCCAAUGUAAGAUGCAGUUAUGGCCGACGGAAAAAGUAGCCAACAUAACAGCAACAAAUAGUGUAGUAGAAACAGAACUCCAGACAGACUAAAUCCAGGAAAUAAACCAAUGCAACCCACAACCAGUAAACUUAGUUAAGACUUGGAAGAAUCAGAAUUGAUUGAACAGGUUGAAAAAUAAGUGAAAUCCAAACAACAAUAGGAAGAAACAGUUUCUGAUUGUUGUCUGUAUGUUUUUUUCUCACUUGUGUAUCUGUAUAUUCCUGUUUUUGUGGUAUCUCUCUUCUUUUAAAAUUCAGUCAAUCUCUCUCUUUUUUUCUGAAUCUCUAUCUGGUCCUAACUAAUGGAGGUUCUGCCUCUUUUAUAGCCCAACAUCAGCCCUUUUAUAGUCUGUUAAACAACUCAGAACCCAUUCCUUUUCAGCUAUUUUUCCACUCAAACAUUUAAAAUUAGAAACCCUCCCAAGAGAUUCCCUGACAGCCUUUUACUUAGAUAUGGUUUAAUAUUUCUUAAACAACUCAGGGUGUGGGCAGCCUGAAUAUGCCCUGACAGCACAUGCUGUCAAAUUAUUUUUAAUCUCUAAAAGGGCCUUAAUGCACAUGUUGUGCACAAGUGCACAUGCCACCAAUUCAGACUGCAGCUAAACAAACCAAAUCCUUAAAUUUUUGAUUCAAAUCAACAACUAUAAGUAGCUAUACUCGAUUCUCAAUUUGAUUCAAACAAAGUUCAGCAAGAAACAGAUCAAAUUGUUAUCGUUCAAACAGCUGAAACCAAUCGACGACACGUAUCGAAUCGACUAUACUAGUUAUAACAUAUACAACCAAUAGCCAAUGAUCAGAAAUCUAACAGUAUCAACAUGCGAUUCAAAUGUACUGACUAAGCAAAAGUUGUACUGGGGAAUUAAUUAAUCAAUCAAAUUUAAGUUCAAUUGAUUGUACAGCUUACACACAUACACAUGAUCUGUAAAUGGAAAGAACUUGGCCAAAUACAGAGGUCCGGUCAAGGUGGACAACAACAGUCGACAAAAAUUCAAUAACAUAAAUUAAACAAAACAUUUGGACAUAUGAACAGACAUUCAAUUACAACAGACAAAAUAAACUGAUAAAGAAAACAAAAAUUACCUUAAAGCCUUGAAAAAUCAGAAAACCCCAGCUCGGAUUUGAAAUCGACCUUUCUUGGGGUUGAAUGGACUUUAAUCGAAGUGUUCUCUAACGAAAACACUUUGAUUAAGGUCCAUUAGACCCUAAUCAUCUGGUUCAACGGACACAGAUCGGACAUGAGGACUUCUAGGGUUCCUAGAGGGCAGAUUUGGGAUUUGGGUUUCCCUGGUUAGAUUCAGACCAAACCAAGCAUGGUUUGGUCACGGGGGAGGUCAGGGGAGUGUCUGGUAUGAACCUGGGGUAGAUCGGUGUAGAUCGAAUUUUGCUCGAAUCUUCAAAUGAAGAUUCGAGAACCUAGGGUUUGAUUCGAGACAAAAGGACAACAGAUCUAUGUUCAGGGCGGUGAGGCGGUCCUAGGGUGUUAAGGUGGGGGUCACCGGCGUCCUUGCCGCCGGGUUUAAUGGUGAAGGGAAAGGGGGCGGCUCUAGGGUUCCGGGGUUUUUGGGUUUGUGAAGGGGAUGACUGAGGCAGGGGGGGUUUGGCUUAGGCGCGGGGUGAAGGGGGAAGGUUUAUAUACGGGGUAAGUGAUCUGAUAUUGGCUGUUGGAUUGCCACUGAUCAACGGCUGUGAUCUUUCCAUUAAAAGAAACGAUAUGGUUUGUUCUCAUGCUGGGAUGGAUCAGACCGUGUUUCAUUGGGUCGGGUCCGGUAACGGGUAAAGGAGAUGGGACAAGGGCUGUUAGAUCGGCCUGGUUUGAACGGUUGAGAUUAGACGGCCUUAUACGGCGUCGUUUGGGUAAAGGAUUGGCCUGAUCUGGGCCGUUCCUUUGAAUCAAUCAACGGCUCAAAGAGAUGAUGCCUAUACGGCGUCGUUUGGGGCGUCUUGCAGAGGGCCUGGUUGGACUGGGUCAUUUUGGUUUGGGCUUGUUCCUAUUUAAAUUGGAUUGGCCCAAUCCGAAAACCCUCUUCUUCUUAAAUCUCUUAAUUAAUUUGUCAAAAAUAAUACUAUAAAAACAAAAAUUAACACAUAAUUAACAUUUAAUUAAAAUAACAUCACUUAAUGACAAAAAUGAAAGAUGCAUUUUUUGCAAUUUUUCCUUUUAAUAACCGGAUUACGGUUCAACUACACACGACACAUUUUUUGUAUUUUGUUUUCAAUAAAAAAUAAAAAUGGGCGAAAAUCACAAAUAAUUAACAAAGUGCCACAUAAAAAUUCAAAAUUGUACAGCAAGACCAUUUGCUGUUAUUUUAUUUCUUUUGGAGUGAUUGUCGCGUAAACAAAAAUCACGUGCUCACAUUUAUAACCCACAUUUUGUCAACUUUCAAGAAAGCUAAACUCCAUAUUGAUAACACAACCACUCUUUACUAGUAAUUAACAUAACUCCAAAAUUCCACAUUUGAGUUGCAUGCUUUCUCAUUUUGCUGCAAUUAAUUUAUGCAGGUAAUAAAUUCAUAAAUAAUUUAUCCAAAACUCAUUAGCUUAUUUUUUUAGUCUCACUUUACGUAAUGAGUGUUGAUAGAAGAAGCAAAUCACAGGUAAAAAAAGUAACAAUCUUUUACAGAACAGGAAGCAAAGCAAGACCUCAAAUUAAAUAAAUUGAGACAAAAGAAGUGAUCUUUCGACAAAUAUAGAGCUCAACUUCAUUUUCUAUGAAACCCUAAAAAUGGAAAACAGAAGGCCCAGCGGCGCGCAGGUAGUGUGGAAAACAGAAGGCAUGACUAAGAUCUGAAAGAAAAUAAACAAAAAUGGUAGAAUACAGUUGGAAUCGUAAUGGAAAAUGUAGCUUACCGGUGCCGCCGAUGGUGGUUUGUCUUCCUCGUUAUCUCCGGCGAACUGAUCGAUGAAGGCUUUUUGGGAGAGAGAGUAUGGAAGCUUUUUGUGAUGAGUGGCGUUUGAGUAUAUCAGAGAU